rnacentral:rRNA from 1 species
GAGAGAGACAUGCGCGCAUAUCAAUAAGCGGAGGAAAAGAAACUAACAAGGAUUCCCUUAGUAACGGCGAGUGAAGCGGGAAGAGCUCAAAUUUGAAAUCUUCAAGGUUUUACCUUGACGAAUUGUAGUUUAAAGAAGUGUUUUCUGCUGAAGUUUUGGUAAAAGUUCUUUGGAAUAGGACAUCAUAGAGGGUGAGAAUCCCGUAUUUGACCAUUAUUUUCCAGCUUUGUGAUACACUUUCAAAGAGUCGGAUUGUUUGGGAAUGCAGUCCAAAAUGGGUGGUAAAUUUCAUCUAAAGCUAAAUAUUGGCGAGAGACCGAUAGCGAACAAGUACCGUGAGGGAAAGAUGAAAAGAACUUUGAAAAGAGAGUUAAACAGUACGUGAAAUUGUCAAAAGGGAAGCGUUUGACACCAGUGUUGUUUUCUCGAAAAUCAAUUAAAAAUGGCUAGAUUUUGUAUGUUGUAUUGACCUUUAUCAAGCUUCACUGCUACAUCUUUUCGUGUCUUUUUUAAUGCACUUUUCGUUUAACAAGUCAACAUCAGUUUCUUUUGUUGUAAAAGGGUCAUUGGAAGGUGGCUUUCUUUUCGGAGAAAGUGUUUAUAGCCUUUGGCCUCUGCAAUCGGAGAGAUUGAGGUCUGCAGCGUAGACUCCUUCGGGGUUAGAUACAUUUGUGCUAAGUUAUAGCCUUUUCAUAGACAACUUGUUGACUAUAAUCAGUCAUGUAGCUUACUCGCUUAUGCUAUUUUACCUACGCUUAGGAUGUUGAGUCGUAGAGCACGCAG